rnacentral:rRNA from 1 species
UACAGAGGGGCGAGCGUUGUUCGGAAUUACUGGGCGUAAAGGGCGCGUAGGCGGGCGAUCAAGUCAGGGGUGAAAUCUCCGGGCUCAACCCGGAAACUGCCAUUGAUACUAUUAGUCUUGAAUUUUGUUGAGGUAGGCGGAAUAAGUCAUGUAGCGGUGAAAUGCUUAGAUAUGACUUAGAACACCAAUUGCGAAGGCAGCUUGCUAACAAUAAUUGACGCUGAGGCACGAAAGCGUGGGGAUCAAACAGG